rnacentral:rRNA from 1 species
GGGUUGUAAACCCCUGUCAGGUGGGACGAACCNCGGAUCGNGUAAUACCCGGUCCGNCUGACGGUACCACCAGAGGAAGCUCCGGCUAACUCCGUGCCAGCAGCCGCGGUAAUACGGAGGGAGCNAGCGUUGUUCGGAAUUACUGGGCGUAAAGGGCGCGUAGGCGGUCGGGUAAGUCGGGUGUGAAAUUCCGGGGCUCAACCCCGAGAACUGCAUCCGAUACUGCUCGACUUGAGAGAGGUAGGGGCGAGUGNAAUUCCCGGUGUAGCGGUGGAAUGCGUANAUAUCGGGAAGAACACCGGUGGCGAAGGCGGCUCGCUGGACCUUUUCUGACGCUGAAGCGCGAAAGCGUGGGGAGCAAACAGGAUUAGAUACCCUGGUAGUCCACGCCGUAAACGAUGGGUACUAGGUGUUGGGAGGAUUGACCCUUUCAGUGCCGACGCUAACGCAUUAAGUACCCCGCCUGG